CGGGCGGAGCCUACACAUGCAGUCGAGCGGUAGCACAGAGAGCUUGCUCUCGGGUGACGAGCGGCGGACGGGUGAGUAAUGUCUGGGAAACUGCCUGAUGGAGGGGGAUAACUACUGGAAACGGUAGCUAAUACCGCAUAAUGUCGCAAGACCAAAGUGGGGGACCUUCGGGCCUCAUGCCAUCAGAUGUGCCCAGAUGGGAUUAGCUAGUAGGUGGGGUAACGGCUCACCUAGGCGACGAUCCCUAGCUGGUCUGAGAGGAUGACCAGCCACACUGGAACUGAGACACGGUCCAGACUCCUACGGGAGGCAGCAGUGGGGAAUAUUGCACAAUGGGCGCAAGCCUGAUGCAGCCAUGCCGCGUGUGUGAAGAAGGCCUUCGGGUUGUAAAGCACUUUCAGCGGGGAGGAAGGCGGUGAGGUUAAUAACCUUGUCGAUUGACGUUACCCGCAGAAGAAGCACCGGCUAACUCCGUGCCAGCAGCCGCGGUAAUACGGAGGGUGCAAGCGUUAAUCGGAAUUACUGGGCGUAAAGCGCACGCAGGCGGUCUGUCAAGUCGGAUGUGAAAUCCCCGGGCUCAACCUGGGAACUGCAUUCGAAACUGGCAGGCUAGAGUCUUGUAGAGGGGGGUAGAAUUCCAGGUGUAGCGGUGAAAUGCGUAGAGAUCUGGAGGAAUACCGGUGGCGAAGGCGGCCCCCUGGACAAAGACUGACGCUCAGGUGCGAAAGCGUGGGGAGCAAACAGGAUUAGAUACCCUGGUAGUCCACGCCGUAAACGAUGUCGAUUUGGAGGUUGUGCCCUUGAGGCGUGGCUUCCGGAGCUAACGCGUUAAAUCGACCGCCUGGGGAGUACGGCCGCAAGGUUAAAACUCAAAUGAAUUGACGGGGGCCCGCACAAGCGGUGGAGCAUGUGGUUUAAUUCGAUGCAACGCGAAGAACCUUACCUGGUCUUGACAUCCACAGAACUUUCCAGAGAUGGAUUGGUGCCUUCGGGAACUGUGAGACAGGUGCUGCAUGGCUGUCGUCAGCUCGUGUUGUGAAAUGUUGGGUUAAGUCCCGCAACGAGCGCAACCCUUAUCCUUUGUUGCCAGCGGUUCGGCCGGGAACUCAAAGGAGACUGCCAGUGAUAAACUGGAGGAAGGUGGGGAUGACGUCAAGUCAUCAUGGCCCUUACGACCAGGGCUACACACGUGCUACAAUGGCAUAUACAAAGAGAAGCGACCUCGCGAGAGCAAGCGGACCUCAUAAAGUAUGUCGUAGUCCGGAUUGGAGUCUGCAACUCGACUCCAUGAAGUCGGAAUCGCUAGUAAUCGUAGAUCAGAAUGCUACGGUGAAUACGUUCCCGGGCCUUGUACACACCGCCCGUCACACCAUGGGAGUGGGUUGCAAAAGAAGUAGGUAGCUUAACCUUCGGGAGGGCGCUACCACUUGAUAGG
rnacentral:rRNA from 1 species